GAAAUUGUCGGGGUGGAGGAAGUAAAAGCCUAAACUAAAACCUCCAUAAAAUUCGAGGGAAUAUAAUUAGGGUUUUCAGUAUAAAACCAGCUGGGUCUGCAUCUUCACUCUCUACUUCGCAACUUCAGAUCUUCUUCGUCGUCUGAAUCAAGUUUUGACUUCAUUUGAAGAGUUUCUGAAUUGCCAUUCCUUCCAAAAUGAGCCGGCCAAUGGAGGAAGAUACUGCAGCUAAGAAAUGAGGAAGAGGAGUUCCAACACUGGACCACUAUCUGUACUGAUGAUGAGUGUUAAAAAUAAUACCAGGUAUUGAUAAAUUGUCGGAACAACAAAAAGCUUCUGGGUCGUGUUAGAGCUUUUUGAUAGGCAACUGCAACAUGGUUCUUGACAAUGUCAGGGAGAUGUGGACCGAGGUAUGGUUUUUCUUUUAUAUUCACUUCCCUUGCAUUUGUUUCACAGCUUAAUGAAUCUGUGCGGACAAUCGGUCCCAAGACUGGAAAAGGAAAGAAAAAGGCCCAUCCAGUGAACAAGGAUAGAUUCAUCAGCAAAAAUGUUCCCCGUGGAGAUUCCGUCAUCAUGUUCUUAGGACCCUAAAUGAGAUUGUGUAAUCAUUCUUGUAGAAUGGCUCUGUAGUAUUUGCCUUUGGUUAUCUUUGAAAUUCUUGACAACCUUAUAUGUAACAUCGCUGGCCUAACCUUUAAUUUUUUAGACAUUGACAGAGGAUGUAGUUGGUAUUUUGAUGAGGGCGCCCCAGAACAAUUUUACCAAUAUGCGGAUCUAUUAUGUACCUAUUGACGUGUACAUCUAAUGCUUUGUAUUGUAUGGGAUAGUUUUAAAAUGUAUAGUUCGUUUUUUGUUC